CUUUGAAGCCCGUGGAACCACAAACUCUUCAAUUGAGAAAAACCUUCGAUUGGAAGAGACUUCUCAUCUCAUUUCUGGGGGCCUGUCUGGGAUUUCUCUGAAGUGAAUAGAAUCCAUGAAACUGCAAAUGGUUCUACAAAUGGAGCCCCAAAUGACCACCACUAGCACCUACUAUCGAGGACCCCUAGACUGACCUACCAACCUGUUCUAACACCACGACACUGAAGACUCCCCUCCUGAGGAACCCUCAACUGCAGAUCCCCUUCUAUGCCCCAGUUCAGCAGGAAGUAGCUAGAAUGAUCAUUGCCCAACUUCUCAACAGCACUUGGGCUUUCCUGUUGAGAGUGGGUACUGAGGCACUAAGUGGCUAAGUUGGCUAGACUUCCUGGGUCAACAGGGACUUCCCUAAGGGGACAUUCCCCUAAGCCAAAAUGAGUCAUAGCUGCAAGCUAAGGGAUUGAAACUUCAACCAAUCAAAGGGGACUUUCUCCUAAGCAAAAAUGAGUCACCGCUGCAAACUAAGUGAUUGAAACUUCACCCAAUCAUAUAGGGAGUUUAAGCUUUAGCUGCAGCCUGAUGUUUUUAACCAAUCAGGCCUGCCAACCCACAAGCGGAUAGAAAAUAAGCUAAUCCUAUGGGACAGAAAAAGGAAAAGGGGAGGAGUCAUAAGGGGAUAUAAGCAUAAGACACCCAAGCCAGAAACGGAAAUCCUUCCGGGUCUCCUUCCACCACGUGGAAGCUUUACUUUUGCUUUUACUUUACUUUCACUUUAAUAAACCUUGGUGCCGC
rnacentral:lncRNA from 1 species